rnacentral:rRNA from 1 species
UACGGAGGAUGCAAGCGUUAUCCGGAUUCAUUGGGUUUAAAGGGUACGUAGGUGGCCCAGUAAGUCAGUGGUGAAAUCCUGCCGCUUAACGGUAGAACUGCCAUUGAUACUGCUGGGCUUGAGUACAGUUGAGGUAGGCGGAAUGUGUAGUGUAGCGGUGAAAUGCUUAGAUAUUACACAGAACCCCGAUUGCGAAGGCAGCUUACUAAACUGUAACUGACACUGAGGUACGAAAGCGUGGGGAGCGAACAGG